UUUUCAUCAGACAAUCUGUGUGAGCACUGCAAAGUACGCUUCUUUAAGGUAAGGAGGUGAUCCAACCGCAGGUUCCCCUACGGUUACCUUGUUACGACUUCACCCCAGUCAUGAAUCACAAAGUGGUAAGCGCCCUCCCGAAGGUUAAGCUACCUACUUCUUUUGCAACCCACUCCCAUGGUGUGACGGGCGGUGUGUACAAGGCCCGGGAACGUAUUCACCGUGGCAUUCUGAUCCACGAUUACUAGCGAUUCCGACUUCAUGGAGUCGAGUUGCAGACUCCAAUCCGGACUACGACGCACUUUAUGAGGUCCGCUUGCUCUCGCGAGGUCGCUUCUCUUUGUAUGCGCCAUUGUAGCACGUGUGUAGCCCUGGUCGUAAGGGCCAUGAUGACUUGACGUCAUCCCCACCUUCCUCCAGUUUAUCACUGGCAGUCUCCUUUGAGUUCCCGGCCGGACCGCUGGCAACAAAGGAUAAGGGUUGCGCUCGUUGCGGGACUUAACCCAACAUUUCACAACACGAGCUGACGACAGCCAUGCAGCACCUGUCUCACGGUUCCCGAAGGCACAUUCUCAUCUCUGAAAACUUCCGUGGAUGUCAAGACCAGGUAAGGUUCUUCGCGUUGCAUCGAAUUAAACCACAUGCUCCACCGCUUGUGCGGGCCCCCGUCAAUUCAUUUGAGUUUUAACCUUGCGGCCGUACUCCCCAGGCGGUCUACUUAACGCGUUAGCUCCGGAAGCCACGCCUCAAGGGCACAACCUCCAAGUAGACAUCGUUUACGGCGUGGACUACCAGGGUAUCUAAUCCUGUUUGCUCCCCACGCUUUCGCACCUGAGCGUCAGUCUUUGUCCAGGGGGCCGCCUUCGCCACCGGUAUUCCUCCAGAUCUCUACGCAUUUCACCGCUACACCUGGAAUUCNNNNNNNNNNNNNNNNNNNNCCCCCCUCUACAAGACUCAAGCCUGCCAGUUUCGAAUGCAGUUCCCAGGUUGAGCCCGGGGAUUUCACAUCCGACUUGACAGACCGCCUGCGUGCGCUUUACGCCCAGUAAUUCCGAUUAACGCUUGCACCCUCCGUAUUACCGCGGCUGCUGGCACGGAGUUAGCCGGUGCUUCUUCUGCGGGUAACGUCAAUUGCUGCGGUUAUUAACCACAACACCUUCCUCCCCGCUGAAAGUACUUUACAACCCGAAGGCCUUCUUCAUACACGCGGCAUGGCUGCAUCAGGCUUGCGCCCAUUGUGCAAUAUUCCCCACUGCUGCCUCCCGUAGGAGUCUGGACCGUGUCUCAGUUCCAGUGUGGCUGGUCAUCCUCUCAGACCAGCUAGGGAUCGUCGCCUUGGUGAGCCGUUACCUCACCAACAAGCUAAUCCCAUCUGGGCACAUCUGAUGGCAAGAGGCCCGAAGGUCCCCCUCUUUGGUCUUGCGACGUUAUGCGGUAUUAGCCACCGUUUCCAGUAGUUAUCCCCCUCCAUCAGGCAGUUUCCCAGACAUUACUCACCCGUCCGCCACUCGUCAGCAAAGCAGCAAGCUGCUUCCUGUUACCGUUCGACUUGCAUGUGUUAGGCCUGCCGCCAGCGUUCAAUCUGAGCCAUGAUCAAACUCUUCAAUUUAAAAGUUUGAUGCUCAAUGAAUUAAACUUCGUAAUGAAUUACGUGUUCACUCUUGAGACUUGGUAUUCAUUUUUCGU
rnacentral:rRNA from 1 species